rnacentral:rRNA from 1 species
AGAGUUUGAUCAUGGCUCAAGAUGAACGCUAGCGGCAGGCUUAAUACAUGCAAGUCAAGGGGCCAGCAAUGGCACCGGCGGACGGGUGAGUAACGCGUACACAACGUACCUUUAACUGGGGGAUAGCAUCUGGAAACGGGUGGUAAUACCGCAUGUGGUUGCGGGGAGGCAUCUCCUUGUAACUAAAACUUUGGUGGUUAGAGAUCGGUGUGCGUCUGAUUAGCUAGUUGGUAGGGUAGAGGCCUACCAAGGCGACGAUCAGUAGGGGGCGUGAGAGCGUGAACCCCCACACGGGUACUGAGACACGGACCCGACUCCUACGGGAGGCAGCAGUAAGGAAUAUUGGUCAAUGGAGGGAACUCUGAACCACCCAUGCCGCGUGAAAGAAGAAGGCGCUACGCGUUGUAAACUUCUGUUGGGUGGGACGAAAAUAAUUCAUUUAUGGAUAGCUGACGGUACCAUCAGAAUAAGCACCGGCUAACUCCGUGCCAGCAGCCGCGGUAAUACGGAGGGUGCGAGCGUUAUCCGGAAUCACUGUGUUUAAAGGGUGCGUAGGUGGCUUAAUAAGUCAGCUGUGAAAUGUCUGGGCUUAACCGAGGCAUUGCGGUUGAUACUGUUAGGCUUGAAUCAAGUUGAGGUGUCUAGAAUGUGACAUGUAGCGGUGAAAUGCAUAGAUAUGUCAUAGAAUACCAAUUGCGAAGGCAGGUUGCUAGACUUUGAUUGACACUGAGCACGAAGGCGUGGGAGAUCAAACAGAUUAGAUACCCUGUAGUCCACGCCCUAAACGAUGCUACUAGCUUGUUAGAAAAUAAUUCCGGGUCGACAAGCGAAAGCGAUAGUCAGCAGCUGAGGAGUACGCCGGCAAGAUCAACUCAAGAUUUGAAGGGAUCGCAUGCGUGGAUACUGUGAUCAUCCAGUACCGAGCAUCCUUACUAACUAG